rnacentral:misc_RNA from 1 species
GAGGCGUCUACGAGGCGGGCGACCAGCGCAACCUGAAGAACUCGGAGAUCCAGCAGAUGCAGGCUGAGAACCGCUUCCACGAGGGCAAGCAGAACAGCCACCUUGCUCAGGACAGCAAGGACGAGCGUUCCAUCGCCAACAAGCUCGAGCGCGAGGAGAAGCGCGAGCACGAGGCGGAACAGGAGAACGAGGAGACGCGCGCAUCCAAGAUCGACUCGACACUCCCCG